AGAAGAGUAGAUACAGUGGAAAAUAACCCAUCUAGACAAAUAACAGCAAACAUAAGCAUUUAGAAAAAAACAAAGACAGGUGCCCCCAUCACAGAGGGUUUCCUCAUCUGACACAGAAUCACUUACUUGAAGGAUCAUCCCGCCAUGUCCUCAAUAAAUUCAGGAUGUCGCUUAUAGACGGUAUAUUUAUAACCACGUCUACUGAAUAUUUACUGCUGGGUGCAAGGAGUCCCAGGAAACUGUAAUGCCACCGUGCGUGCUGGAUGAUGGGGACCGGGUGGUUGACCUUCCCAGCUUCCCACGGGCUGGCACGGUGGCUGUCCAAAAAGAUUAUGCUUGGGGCAGAGGUGGGGCUGUGUAUGGAGGACAUCUAAUUAGUCCAGUUGAUUCUAUUCCUUCAGAGUUUUCCUCCACCUAUUCUCAUGUCAGGUGAAGAGGAGACUGUUUCCGGCUCAUUGUUUGUUGAAGGAUUUUUGAAACGAGGACGCUGACUUACAGCUGGUGUUCGUGUCCACAGAAGCCUGAGCGAGACACCGAAGUAACGCAACCACCUUCACUGAGGACUGGUUUGACAGAUCAAGGUGGUAUGUCCGGCUUUGUCAGGUGGCAAGGCUUGCCCUACAGUGGUUAGCUACCUCUGAGAUGCCGAGUAUCUCUGAAGAAAUUCGGAGCUGGAGUCGAUUUGGGGUAGAUUUUUCAUCAGUUUGUGGACGGGAGCUGAAGCUCUGACCAGGAAGGAAAUCCUGCAGGGAGCAGUGGUGGAAAGAAGGGAAGGCCGAGGUAGGCGCCAGGGCAAUUUGGGUCCCGGAUGCCAGUGAGAAUGUCACCUGGGAGGAGUAGAGGGCUGUCAAAUCACAAAGGUCGAGGGGCCGCAGUGCCCGGGAGGGUGCUCCCAGCCACGGGCCCUCGGAGGUGCCGCGUCAGACACCCAGGAACGCUGCUUCGGAGAGCUCGUCCCUUCUGGGCAGUGCCGGCGGCGGCUUCACGGACUCCGCAGAGGUGGGCAGAGCACGUGGGUCACGGGGGAGCGUGUGCUGGGCCCGCGAGCCGGCGGCAGGGAGGCCGGACCCGGCUGGGACAAAGCCCACACUCGGCAGGACGGGGGCCACUGCACGGGCAACACGGUAAACUGAGGAAGGGCGGUCAGGGAGCCUGGGCCGCCGCCCGUCUGCGAGAUGCUCCGCGGCCUGCAGGCAGCGCGGAGGCCCCCACGGCCUCUGGCCAGACUCAGGUGUAUCGAUGUCUUGAAUAAAACCCUCCGUCCUCAGGCACAGAUGCUCCUUAAACAGGGCGAGCCCUGCGCUCCGGGGAGGUGGUGGCGUGACCUCUGACCCCGUGGGACCGGCCAGGGCCCUGAAGGAGCAGCGAGCGAGGUCUCGGCGGUGUCAGGCCGAGGGGCUCGCCCGCCCGCACGGGAGGCCCUGACGCCGAGACCCGCCGAGACCCGCCGAGACCGUGGAAGGUUCGAGUCUCGAGUCUCCCCCCGCCGCUGGACGCAGGACCACGCGACCCGUGCCUCCCAGUUCCGCAGGUUCAAAAUCGUGGAGAAGUAUCCUGAUUCCUAGAGAUUCAUGGGGACCAACAGAUGGAGUCCAGGAAGUAGGGUUUAUACAAACUGUUGCUAGAAGCCUAGAUGAGUGCGGGCCCUCCUGUCAGAAGAAGAGAACAACGUGCCUAAAACUAGGAAAUGGGAGCUAGUUCCAGGGAGAUGGAGCCGUGGUCAUCUCCAGAGUGUGGCAAGCAUCGCACGGUGCUGUAUUUAUAAGGAAGAAAUAAUAAGUACUGUGAAUUGUUGUGUUGUUUAAACUAAUGAGGAGGGAUCCCUGGGUGGCGCAGCGGUUUGGCGCCUGCCUUUGGCCCAGGGCACGAUCCUGGAGACCCGGGAUCGAAUCCCACGUCAGGCUCCCGGUGCAUGGAGCCUGCUUCUCCCUCUGUGUCUCUGCCUCUCUCUCUGUGUGUGUGUGACUAUCAUGAAUAAAAAACAAAACAAAAAAAAUUUAAACUAAUGAGGAGCCCUGGAACAGACAGGGCUGCCAGAUGUCUCUCAGGAAAAUACCAAACUUCCAGAUGGGGAGUAGAAGAAGAUGUAGGAACAGAUGAAUAAAAAUAGCAUUCCUCUCCCGCCUGUGUUCUGGGGCUCCCCCCAAAAUAUGUCUCCAAGUCCACAAGAACAGACUUUCAUCUCUUCACAUGAAAAAAAAUAUCCUUCUAUAGAGAAGCCCCCACCCCCGCUAUAGGCUAUCCUUUUACGUUACUACACAAAUGUCCUGACAGGCUACUCUGGGGCACUUACACUGCAGUAUUUUCCAAUGGCCAGAACUUUUUCCAAGCCCUGGGUACUGGAGGGCACCACCAGCAGGUGGGAGAUUCCAUCUGGUGGAGGAGCCUCAUGAUGACUACAAACUGGUGGAGGCCAGGGGUGAAUGCAAAGAAGGACAGUAGCAUGGAGAGCUCUGAACUGCAGAGCGAAACCCCGAGAAACUCUGGGUCAAGGAAUUGGCAGGGGUUGAAGGUGGGAGUGAGGAGUGAGAUGGGCAACAGACAUUAAUUUGAAGUCUGUGUAAACACAUAGAACAGAGACCGCCUGACAAGAGCUGCCAGGCAGCUUGUAGCCCCUCCAUUUAGUCAUUUGAUGAGCACAGAGACCAACUCUCAACCGCUCAAACAAGUCCUUCGUGUUGACUCUACCACUGUUACCACAUGUGAACACAGCUCCUGGGCAGCUUUUCUACUACUAGAAUAUCAAGAAAAUAUACUAACACUUGCAACAGGAGAAAAUCCACUAAAUACGAGAUAAUUGGGUACCUGGGUAGCUCAGUCAGUUAAACAUCUGCCUUCGGCUCAGGUCAUGAUCUCUGGGUCCUGGGAUAGAGCCCCUCCUGGGACUCCCUGCUCAGCGAGGGGUCUACUUCUCCC